GGAGGGUGCAAGCAUUUAAUCGGAAUUAUUGGGGCGUAAAGGGCGCGUAGGUGGCAUGGAAAGUCAGAUACGAAAUUUCGCAGCUCAACUGCGAAAGUGUUUCUGAAACUAUCAAGCUAGAGUAUAUACGGAGAAAAUAGAAUUUCACAUGUAGCGGUGAAAUGUGUAGAUAUGUGAAGGAAUACCGGUGGCGAAAGCGGUUUUCUAGUAUAUAACUGACACUGAGACGCGAAAGCAAGGGUAGCAAACAGGAUUAGAUACCCUGGUAGUCCUUGCCGUAAACGAUGUAUACUUGAUGUAGAAGGACUCAACCCCUUUUGUGUCGAAGCUAGCGCGAUAAGUAUACCGCCUGAGGAGUACGCUCGCAAGGGUG
rnacentral:rRNA from 1 species